rnacentral:miRNA from 1 species
UGAUCCAGGAACUUUUCAUCU